ensembl:lncRNA FAM86JP family with sequence similarity 86 member J, pseudogene
GGCCCCGCCCACGUCAUGGCGCCCGAGGAGAACGCUGGGACCUAACUCUUGCUGCAGAGUUUGCAGCGCCGCUUUCUGGCGGCGCGCGCGCUGCGCUCCUUCCCCUGGCAGAGCUUAGAAGCAAAAUUAACAGACUCAUCAGAUUCUGAGCUUCUGCGGGAUAUUUUGCAGAAGCCCUCAGGAGGCUCAGUCACACUCUCCUAGAGCACAGCCAUCAUCUCCCAGGCAUCACAGGCCUGGUCACAUGGGAUGCUACCCUCUACCUUGCAGAAUGGGCCAUCGAGAACCCGGCAGCCUUCACUCAUAGGACUGUCCUAGAGCUUGGCAGUGGUGCUGGCCUCACAGCCCUGGCCAUCUGCAAGAUGUGCCGCCCCCGGGCAUACAUCUUCAGCGACUGUCACAGCCGGGUCCUCAAACAGCUCCGAGGGAAUGUCCUUCUCAAUGGCCUCUCAUUAGAGGCAGACAUCACUGCCAACUUAGCCCCAGAGUGACAGUGGCCCAGCUGGACUGGGACAUCGCGAUGGUCCAUCAGCUCUCUGCCAUCCAGCCAGAUGUUGUCAUUGCAGCAGAGACCACAGGAGGAAAACAACCACUUCUGGGAUGAGGACAGGGCCCUUGAGAGAAGGUGGUGUUUGGCUGGGCCGCCAAAAACCCCUCGCCCCUGCCAGCACACUCAGUCUCCUCUCUGGUCGAACAGAGCUGUGCCUGUUGUCCUGGGUCCCAGCCCUGAAAACCACAGGUCCAGCGGUGGCCAGGGACACAGGCCCACCCCUGCAAGCCAGCAGACAAAUCGGCAGACGCCUGAAACACGAAGUUCAUGGCAGGGUCAGGCUUUGUGUCAUUCACAGCCCUCUAGAUAGGCUGAGAACCAGAGCUCGUUUUUUAAGGAACACCAACGUGCUGUAUUGCCCAGAAGCCAUCGUGUUGCUGGUCGGGGUCCUGCUGAGGCUGGCUGCCUGCCGGGAGCACCAGCGGGCUCCUGAGGUCUAUGUGGCCUUUACUGUCCGCAACCCAGAGACAUGCCAGCUGUUCACCACCGAGCUAGGCCAGGCCAGGAUCAGAUGGGAAGUGGAACCUCGUCAUGACCAGAAACUGUUUCCCUAUGAAGAGCACUUGGAGAUGGCAAUGCUGAACCUCACACUGUAGGACUCACACACGACUCCAAUGGGAUUGUGAGAAUCAAGUCACUCUCAAGGGAAGAGGUUUCAUAUGGGAAAGCUGAUAAAACUUUCACUGGACUGGAAUGUUUGGAGAAUGUUAAUUUCCAAAUCAGGAACUACAAACUGCCCUCUAAUAAGACAUCGGCUAUCUAAGCGUGUGGGUGCUCCCUUUCUGCCAGCAGUUCUGGUUCUUAAGGAAAUCGCCAUCACUCAGACAUGAAAACUCUGGCUCCAAAAAUAGCAUUUUCUUUGUGCAAAUAAAAACGUGUGUAUCAA